AAAAUCAGGCCUCCACUCCCUUCUUCCCCUUCUCAUUGAUGAAAAACCAUGUGGAACCCUGUUUCUUCUCUUCCCCCAGCAUUUUGCUCUCCACCCUGCCUGUCAGAAUCCUGAUCACUCCCAUUACCUUCACCUCCAUUCAAGAGGGAAGAAAAGCUUAAACUGCUCCCCGAAGAAUCAACUCCAAUGCCGCUAAGACUUCAGUGAGCAUCAGAGUCACCCGGAGGUCUUGCUAAAACACCGGUUCUUGGGCCCCACCCCCACAGAGUCUGAGUCUGAAAUGGACAAAGACUAGACUGGCUCACUGGUCCUGAAACAGAAAUUUCUAUUGAAAGGUUUUGCAGCUCUCUAUGGACAUAGAUCCGCCCUGCUCCAUCUAUAACAUCUCUCUCAACUGCAGUUAUUCAUUCAUGAGAACUUUGUAUUAGUUCCUUCUGCCCAUGCCAUCUUCUGCAGACACAAAUGUUUAUGCUUCACUUAAAAGGUGGCAUGAAUAUGUUUGUAUAAUGUGGGUCAUUGCAGGUCAUUGCUAAUAUAAUAGAGUAAACCUCUGCUCAGCUGGCCUCAAGUUACACCACACCCAUAGCUGUCAAUUUCUAUCUUCCUCUAGACAUAUACAACGUGGUGGGAGGGAAACAGCCUAGGGGUAGGACUUAAGCCAACCUACUUUGGAUUUCUGGGACUACUCUUACCAGCUGUGUGAACUUGGGCGAAUUUUGUAGCUUUGAUGAGCCUCACUUUCCUUAGCUAUAAAAUGGGGACGAUGCCUAUUUUGCAGAGGUUUGAGAGGAUUAAUAAUUGUUUGAGCAAAGCGCCUGACAAUUAGUAAAUUAGUAAAUAAAUAUUAAGUUGAAUCAUAUUAAACCGCCGAUAAAUGGCAAUAACUAGUCAUUUUACCUAAAGUUGUUAGCCCUGGGAUUGUUACCAUGAUUGUGUGUACACAGGCUGAGCCCAGGUACCUACCAUGCAAAGUUUAAGGGGGUGUUCAUUCUCAGGUGCCGACUCCAUACUUGCAUGACUCUGAGAGCAAAUAUUUCCUUAAAUUUUGUUCCCAACCACCUCUCUUGG
rnacentral:lncRNA from 10 species